rnacentral:rRNA from 1 species
CCUACGGGAGGCAGCAGUGGGGAAUAUUGCACAAUGGGGGAAACCCUGAUGCAGCGACGCCGCGUGAGUGAAGAAGUAUCUCGGUACGUAAAGCUCUAUCAGCAGGGAAGAAAAUUACGGUACCUGACUAACAAUCCCUGGCUAAUUACUUCCCAGGAGCCGCGGUAAUACGUAGGGGGCAAGCGUUAUCCGGAUUUAGUGGGUUAAACGGGUGCGCAGGCGGAGGCAAAAGUCAGCGGUAAAAUCGCGGGGCUCAACCCCGUUCCGCCGUUGAAACUGGGUCCCUUGAGUGCGCGAAGGGUAGGCGGAAUGCGAGGUGUAGCGGUGAAAUGCAUAGAUAUCACGCAGAACUGCGGUCGCGAAGGCGGCCAACCGGCGCGCAACUGACGCUCAGGCACGAAAGCGUGGGUAUCGAACAGGAUUAGAUACCCCAGUAGUC